GAUAAACGCUGGCGGCGCACAUAAGACAUGCAAGUCGAACGGACUUUAACCAUUAGUUUACUAUUGGAGCGGUUAGUGGCGGACUGGUGAGUAACACGUAAGCAACCUGCCUCAUACAGGGGGAUAACAGUUAGAAAUGACUGCUAAUACCGCAUAAGCGCACAGUAUCGCAUGAUACAGUGUGAAAAACUCCGGUGGUAUGAGAUGGACCCGCGUCUGAUUAGCUAGUUGGUAAGGUAACGGCUUACCAAGGCGACGAUCAGUAGCCGGACUGAGAGGUUGAACGGCCACAUUGGGACUGAGAUACGGCCCAGACUCCUACGGGAGGCAGCAGUCGGGAAUAUUGCGCAAUGGAGGAAACUCUGACGCAGUGACGCCGCGUAUAGGAAGAAGUUUUUCGGAAUGUAAACUAUUGUCGUUAGGGAAGAGAAAGGACGGUACCUAAGGAGGAAGCCCCGGCUAACUAUGUG
rnacentral:rRNA from 1 species